UAUAUAAAAAAAAUCUAUUUCCUCAUUUUUCUUUCCUUUUUCCCCCUCUCCUUUUCCUUUUCCUUCCUUCCUCUUUCUCCCCGAUCCUAGCUCCCUCUCCCUCCCCGAUUUAUGAUUUCUCCGGCCACAAUGCAGCCAAUGCCGCCGCCCAGCUCUUCCUCCUUCCCCUCCUCGCCAUCGCGCCACCUUCAUCUUCCUCCCUCCCUCGCUGCCGACGUCCGCAUGGAGAAAGGGGUUGCCGUUGCUGUUUCAACCGCCUGUCGCCCUCCUUUUGGCCAUCCGACGCCACAUUCUUGCUCUCCACCACCGGAAACCUCUAGGCUGAGCUCCCCUGUCGUGAAAUCCUCGCCGGCAGCCUCGGUCAAGCUUUACCGGAGCAGCCCCUUUCUGGCCCCGAUCUGGUGUCUUCAGGCGAGUUUCCGGCCAAAACUAUUGUGUUUACGGACUCCCUGCAAGUCGAGCUUCACAUAGGCGCUUCCGGAUUUGAAUUCCGACACCGUUGGCAGGAUCGGCUUUCGGAUCCAAGUGUUUUCUAAACACGCGAAAUAUUAAAAUUUCAACUCGAUAAUCUGUACAUCCCGCCAGCUCCACCCGAGGCAUAAGAGCAGACUACGAAGCGUGACAAAACUGUGAGUUAAAGUUAUAUAAUCGAUGUACAUUGGUAUGUCUAGAUUUCAUGCAAUAUUUAAAUGAUUAAUUUUUAUGUAUGAUUAUCAUUAUUAUUAUUAUAAGUAAACUUUAUUUAAUUAAUAAUCAUCAUAAAUAAUAUUAAUAUUAUUAUUAGUUAAUUUAUCUCGUUAUUUACGAUAUUUUAAAUAAUGUUAUUUUAAUACUAUUAUUAUUAUCUCUACAGAUAUUUUACAUAUUUUCUUUAUCUGAUGUAAUCGAAUAAAUUAUGUUGGCUAUGAAUAGCCUAUUUAUGAUUUCUUUUUAUAUAUAUUAUGAUUGUGACUUUGGGAUAAGGUGACUGUAGAGCAUGCCACUUGAUAAGUUGCAUCAGGACCGCGGGCACACUGAUAAUAAUUAGAGAAAUGUAUCAAAGGUUAUUUUUAGAUUUUGUCCCGGUCGAGUAUAACUCUCUGGGCUGUGAAAGUUUGACUACCGGAGAAAGGUUCUUGGUCGAACAAUGUUCUCUGGCCGUUGGUUUAAUUAGGGAAUAAGGUCUAGGCUAGAUGUAAGGAAUCUGGUUGAGCUUCGCUUUUUGGGCGUCAGACAUAAUUGUAAUACGAGAGCUGAAAGGCUCAUAGCGUUUUGGAUUAGGGUUCUACUGAGUCACUCGUCCCAUAAGUCUUUAAGGUGAUUGUUAGAGUUCUCGCCGUGUGCAUUUUGACAACACAACUUCCUCCUUCAUCAGGCUUAUUAUAAAUAAUCUAUACUUUCAUAUUUUUAGUUA